rnacentral:rRNA from 1 species
GACGAACGCUGGCGGCGUGCUUAACACAUGCAAGUCGAACGGAAAGGCCUGUCCUUCCUUGUGUUGGACGGGUACUCGAGUGGCGAACGGGUGAGUAACACGUGAGUGAUCUGCCCCCAACUUGGGUAUAAGCCUGGGAAACUGGGUCUAAUUCCCGAUAGGACUGCAGGGUGGUGCCUGUGGUGGAAAACGAUUUUCUAGUGGUUGGGGAUGAGCUCGCGGCCUAUCAGCUUGUUGGUGGGGUAAUGGCCUACCAAGGCGGCGACGGGUAGCCGGCCUGGGAGGGUGGACGGGCACAGUGGGACUGAGAUACGGCCCAGAAGCCUACGGGAGGAAGCAGUGGGGAAUAUUGCACGAUGGGCGGAAGCCUGAUGCAGCGACGCCGCGUGGGGGAUGACGGCCUUCGGGUUGUAAACUCCUUUCGACCGCGAGGAAGCCGCCUGGUUGGAAGGGUGGUGACGGUAGUGGUAGAAGAAGCACCGGCUAACUACGUG